rnacentral:rRNA from 1 species
GAUGAACGCUGGCGGCGUGCUUAACACAUGCAAGUCGAACGAAGCACUUUGGAAUGAUUCUUCGGAUGAAUGAAGAAGUGACUGAGUGGCGGACGGGUGAGUAACGCGUGGGUAACCUGCCUCAUACAGGGGGAUAACAGUUAGAAAUGGCUGCUAAUACCGCAUAAGCGCACAGGACCGCAUGGUCCGGUGUGAAAAACUCCGGUGGUAUGAGAUGGACCCGCGUCUGAUUAGGUAGUUGGUGGGGUAACGGCCUACCAAGCCGACGAUCAGUAGCCGACCUGAGAGGGUGACCGGCCACAUUGGGACUGAUACACGGCCCAAACUCCUACGGGAGGCAGCAGUGGGGAAUAUUGCACAAUGGGCGAAAGCCUGAUGCAGCGACGCCGCGUGAGCGAAGAAGUAUUUCGGUAUGUAAAGCUCUAUCAGCAGGGAAGAAAAUGACGGUACCUGACUAAGAAGCACCGGCUAAGUACGUGCCAGCCGCCGCCGUAAAAC